UUUGCUUGGCAGGAUGAGUGUCUUCUCAUAAAUCAAUAGGCCGCAUACUGAUUGCUGGGCAAUCUUGACACAAAAUAGCCGUGCAAGCACUUUUUACAGCCUAUCCCAGAAGCCUCAGAGGAAAGGUGCAUUGCAGUGUGGGAAACUGGUUUACAGUGAAAUUACAUGAAUACCUAAAAAAAGUUGGAUAAAGAGUGAAAGGUUCAUUCAUACAGCAAAGAGGUACAAGUGUCUACAUGCUGGCCAUUGUUCUAAGUGCUUCGGCUCCUGCAGGGAAUAAAACUGGCCCAAAUCCUGCCCUGUUGGAGCUCACCUUCUCAUCUGGUCAACAGAUAAUACAAAAUAAAUUGGUAAAUGAUGGGUGUGUGCAGAAGGAUGCAAAAUGCUACAGGAAAAAGCGAUUAGAAUACUAUUAUUGCAUCAAGGAGACGGCCUGUUGAGAGGAAGUGUAAUCCUAUGCCAUGUUUAAUGUGAAGUGCUUGACCGAAUAAUGAAAGGUCUUGCCAAGAGGUGACUCCAGGCAGAUUGGUUUUUGAGGUGCUGUAAAACUGAAGAAGAAAUCUUGAUCAGGGCACAUAGACCUUGACUCUGCGUCUUUUCCUCGAUGAGGAGGUGGCCUCCCCAGAGCUGAGCUGGCUUCAAGAAUCAAGAGAU